rnacentral:lncRNA from 1 species
CAUUUUGGGGUUUUUUAGUGGGUGAUUUUGGAGAUUUUUGGGAUGGAUUUUGAGGAGAUUUUUAAAGUUUUUGGGGCAUUUUUUGGAAUUUUUUGGGGGAUUUUUAGGGGGAUUUUGGGUCAAUUUUGGGGCAUUUUUUGGUAAUUUUGGGUUAUUUUGGGGGUUUUUUCAGGUCAUUUUUAGGGGAUUUUUGGGGUAAUUUUUGGCGGGUUUUUUUGUAUUUUUGGGGCAUUUUUGGUCCUUUUUGGGGUAUUUUGGGGCUAUUUUUGGGGUAUUUUUUGGUAAUUUUGGGGUCAUUUUGGGGUAAUUUUUGGGGUAUUUUUGGUCGUUUUUGGGGUCAUUUUGGGGGUAUUUUUUUGGAGAAAUUUUUGUGUAUUUUUGGGGUAUUUUGGGUCAUUUUUGAGGAAUUUUUGGGGGAAUUUUGGGGUAAUUUGGGUCAUUUUUGGGGUAUUUCAGGGGAUAUUUCAGGGCUAUUUCAGAGAGUAUUUUUGGGAUAUUUCAGGGCUAUUUUUGGGCUAUUUCAGGGCUAUUUUUGGGCUAUUUCAGGGGCUGUUUGUCACCGUACCUGCUGUCCCUGCUGCGCGGCCGGGGGGGUCCCGCUGGCCCGGCCCCCCCGGGGCUCUGCCCGUAGUACGCCGCCUGCUGUCGGUAAUACUCGGCCCAGGCCGCGCUGUAAUCGGGCUGGGGGCCGGGGGGAGCCCCGGGACCACCCCCCGAGGCCACCUGGGCGGCUGGGGGGGGACACCAAAGGGAGGGGUCAGCACCCCAAAAUCACCCAAAGGGGGGUCAGCACCCCCAAAUCAAUCAGAACCCCCAAAAAAAACCACCCAGGGUGGGGUCAGGAC